UGGACCCUGGCCUGGCCUCUGGACAGCAAGCCAACAUGACUUGGUGGCCAUGAACUGUAGCAAAUAUAGCCAGUGGUCUGCACUUGACUGCAGAGGUUGGUCCGGAGUAUCUCUUUAGAGCUGUGGUCAUUGCUCCAAGGAAGCGCUUCCUCUGUUACUGGAGAAGAGCAAAAUAACAGCACAGACUGGAAAGGGAUACGCCAUCAAGAUCAAAAGAGGGACCUGCAAGGCAGAGGACUCGAGGUGCCAAUUGUCGUUUGUGCCUGCUUGCAUACAAGGUUCAGAAGAAGUGGCUAAGUAUCGGGGCAGAGUCUGGCAAGUUCUCCACUUCGAUAGGUGAGGUAUUAUGUUGGUUUUUCUUAUAACACAUAUCUCUUCUCAGAGUGCAUCUGAUUUCAGUCGUAUGCGUGCCCAAUUAUUUGUAGACAUAAGGUGUGGUAGGUAGGGGAUUCACCCUAAACAUUUCCUAAAGGACACAGUGUAAGUCUCAAAGCAGUUCACUUGGGCCGAAGGAUCCAUCCUUGCUAGCUUGCUCUCAUAGUGUAAGCCAGUUCUAUGCAGGCUGCUGUAAGGCAAAAGUGUCAAUAGUCUAAACGAGAUGUAAACUCUACAAACUGAUACUAGAAAGAGGUACCCAUCUGUGAGGUGGUGUGGCAUUACUAUGAUGGGGAUAACCAACUGCUCCCGGAUUGGACUGAAGGUUUGCUCUGUACAAUUGGUUCAAAACUGAUGGCUGAAGAAGUUUCAGGUCCUGGGAGCCAGGGAUGGGUGUGUGUUUGUGUGUGGGGGGGGGACCUAAGAUGGGUGCUUAGUUGAACCAAGCUAGCAUUAAAUCACCUGUUGACUAUCUGUGUUUGCCCACAGACAAAGGUUUCUCUCAUUCUUCCACAGAGAUGUUUCUCCUGGCAAUGAAGAGAUAAAUUCAAAGUCCCAUUAUGGUACAGGAUGCCAGAAAUAAAGAAGAGUUGAGCGUAGACAAGGCUUAGUCUUAGACAAAAUAUUUAUACAUCGUGUUAAGGCUCAAGAAACAUUGAGGAAGAAGUUAUGGAAAGAAUGUAAGAGCCGCAGGGGAGGGAGGUUGUAAAAUGCCAUCUUCUGGGCAAGACAAGGCCGUGCCAACUACGAAUUUACAGCAGGGUGAAUCCUAAAACUGGGUUCAUAGAAGUUGGGACCUCCUAACAGUAACUACUAGAGAGGCGGGACCUCUAGGGCCUGUCAUUCACUUCUGAGUUAUUGGCAACAGCAGAUUCUGGGAGUGGGGAGGCAUAGUAUUCCAGGUGAGUGAGCCACCAGGCUGUCAUGGUUCCAAACUCAGGCUCAAACAGGCAGCCCCGGUCAAAUAUUAUGGGAAAGAGAUUUGUAAAGACUAAGUUCUUGUCGUGGUGGGAGGAGCUAGGAAAGGAUAAAGGGGGAGUACCCAGAAACCACAGUCCACAAUUGUAAGAAAACAAACUUAACAAAGUUACUAACAAAAGCAAGAGAAAAACAAACAAACAAACAAAACCAACCAACCAACC
ensembl:lincRNA Gm27198 predicted gene 27198